rnacentral:rRNA from 1 species
UACGGAGGGGGCAAGCGUUAUCCGGAUUUACUGGGUGUAAAGGGAGCGUAGACGGCCAGACAAGUCUGAAGUGAAAAUCCAGCGCUUAACGUUGGAAGUGCUUUGGAAACUGCCGGGCUAGAGUGCAGGAGGGGCAGGCGGAAUUCCUAGUGUAGCGGUGAAAUGCGUAGAUAUUAGGAGGAACACCAGUGGCGAAGGCGGCCUGCUGGACUGCAACUGACGUUGAGGCUCGAAGGCGUGGGGAGCAAACAGG